GCCAGACUCCUACGGGAGGCAGCAGUGGGGGAUAUUGCACAAUGGGGGGAACCCUGAUGCAGCGACGCCGCGUGGGUGAAGAAGCGCCUCGGCGCGUAAAGCCCUGUCAGCAGGGAAGAAAAUGACGGUACCUGACUAAGAAGCACCGGCUAAAUACGUGCCAGCAGCCGCGGUAAUACGUAUGGUGCAAGCGUUAUCCGGAUUUACUGGGUGUAAAGGGAGCGCAGGCGGCGCGUUAAGCCUGGUGUGAAAGCCCGCGGCCCAACCGCGGGACUGCAUUGGGAACUGGCGCGCUGGAGUGCCGGAGGGGUAGGCGGAAUUCCUAGUGUAGCGGUGAAAUGCGUAGAUAUUAGGAGGAACACCAGUGGCGAAGGCGGCCUACUGGACGGUGACUGACGCUGAGGCUCGAAAGCGUGGGGAGCAAACAGGAUUAGAUACCCCGGUAU
rnacentral:rRNA from 1 species